rnacentral:rRNA from 1 species
GGCCGCGGGAAUUCGAUUCAGGCCUAACACAUGCAAGUCGAGCGGUAGAGAGAAGCUUGCUUCUCUUGAGAGCGGCGGACGGGUGAGUAAAGCCUAGGAAUCUGCCUGGUAGUGGGGGAUAACGUUCGGAAACGGACGCUAAUACCGCAUACGUCCUACGGGAGAAAGCAGGGGACCUUCGGGCCUUGCGCUAUCAGAUGAGCCUAGGUCGGAUUAGCUAGUUGGUGAGGUAAUGGCUCACCAAGGCGACGAUCCGUAACUGGUCUGAGAGGAUGAUCAGUCACACUGGAACUGAGACACGGUCCAGACUCCUACGGGAGGCAGCAGUGGGGAAUAUUGGACAAUGGGC